GAACGAACGCUGGCGGCAUGCCUAACACAUGCAAGUCGAACGAAGUCUUCGGACUUAGUGGCGCACGGGUGCGUAACGCGUGGGAAUCUGCCCUUGGGUACGGAAUAACUCAGAGAAAUUUGUGCUAAUACCGUAUAAUGUCUUCGGACCAAAGAUUUAUCGCCCAAGGAUGAGCCCGCGUAAGAUUAGCUAGUUGGUGGGGUAAAAGCCUACCAAGGCGACGAUCUUUAGCUGGUCUGAGAGGAUGAUCAGCCACACUGGGACUGAGACACGGCCCAGACUCCUACGGGAGGCAGCAGUGGGGAAUAUUGGACAAUGGGCGAAAGCCUGAUCCAGCAAUGCCGCGUGAGUGAUGAAGGCCCUAGGGUUGUAAAGCUCUUUUACCAGGGAUGAUAAUGACAGUACCUGGAGAAUAAGCUCCGGCUAACUCCGUG
rnacentral:rRNA from 1 species